rnacentral:lncRNA from 1 species
AUGUCUGUCAUCAUAGUCUUUCUUUCCCCGAAAGGGAUGCAUGAAGAGGGUUCAGACACUCAGCCAGUGCUAGCACUGUCGUGGGGGGUUUUGCUCCAACAACAAGCACUGACUCCAUCUCCUCUCUCUGAUCCAGUGUCGAGCAUCCACGGCAUUCAGGAAGUGGGCCCCCCUGAUGCUCAGCUCCUGAGGCUGGAUAACAUGCUGCUGGCCGAGGGCAUGUCCAGGCCUGAGAAGCAAGGGAGGGGAGCAUCGGCAGCGGCCAACGCAGCAACGCCAGGAGGCCAUCCAAACGAGGGUGGCCUUGAGCACUCUGACUACAGGGCCAAGCUGUCCCAGAUCCGACAGCUGUACCACUCCGAGCUAGAGAAAUAUGAACAGGCCUGCCGUGAGUUCACCAUGCACGUCACCAACCUCCUCCAGGAGCAGAGCAGGAUCAGGCCCGUCUCGCCCGCGGAGAUAGAGCACAUGGUGGGGAUCAUCCACGGCAAGUUCCACAGCAUCCAGAUGCAGCUGAAGCAGAGCACCUGUGAGGCUGUGCUGGCCCUGCGCGCGAGGUUCCUCGACGCCAGGCGUAAGCGGCAGAAUUUCAGCAAGCAAGCCACAGAGGUGCUGAAUGAAUACUUUUAUUCCCAUCUGAGCAACCCAUACCCCAGUGAAGAAACCAAAGAGGAGCUGGCCAGGAGGGGUGGCAUCACGGUCUCCCAGGUCUCCAACUGGUUCGGCAACAAAAGAAUUCGGUAUAAAAAGAACAUGAGGAAGUUUCAAGAAGAGGCUACCAUCUACACAGCCAAGACAGCAGUGGACGCCACAGAAGUCAGGGGCCCAGGGCGCCAGGCCAGCCCCCCAUCAAUGUCCCACUCCAGCUCCUCUGGCCCGUUUCCGCUGACCGGCCCCGGGGACGCACUUAUCCGCCUGCAGACGCUGGCCUGCCUCCAGCCCACCCCCCGGGAAGGCGGCCUUCUGGCCCAGGUGAGUCUGUGGCCCAACCCCGAGGCCUGUGGGGUCCCCGACCCAGUGACGAGCAGGCCUGGAGCCCCCGUGGGUGUCUGGUCCUCGGGACUGUGGUCUCCGCAGGCUCUCGUGAAGGGCAUGAGGACCAGCUGGGCCCGCCAGGCCCUCAUCACGGGGAUGGUGCAGGCAGGCGGAGCCCCUCCGGGGCACCUUGGGCACAGAGGGCCACUCACCAGAGACCUCAGUCCUCACAGGACUCAGUGGGCACGGCAGGCUCUGCCUGUUGGGAAGGGGCCCUCCCUCCCCGAGGAGGCAGAGGGUGGGGUGGGAAAACGAGGCCCUGAUGGUCUGAAGAUGCAGCCCCCGAGCUCAGAGCCUUCAGCAUGCCUCACCGUCCCGGCCACCCCCUCCGCUGGCACCCAGCUGGGCCAGAGUGAAGGUCCAUUUUGGCGACUGGGAAGAGCAUGGGCCUUGGAUCCCGACUCUCAGGAUGUGCCCUCAGGAACUUUCUCAGAGUGUGGGACGCCAUCCCUCUCGAGGGCCCUGGGGCCUCCUGGCCCCCUACUGACAGCCACGGCGGGGGGCGGCUAG